GUGUCCAGUCUUGUCGGAUUUCAGAAGCCGUGCAAGGUCGAGCUUGGUUAGUACUCGGAUGGGUGACCACCAGGGCUUGCCAGGUGCUGUAGACG
rnacentral:rRNA from 1 species